AGCACUUCAUCACCAACGGCAAGGUGCCUUGGCAAGAGAGCAAGAUAAUGGACACAAGACUGUACAGUGGUGUUGCACCGGACGAAGAUGCAGGCUGUUCUAGUGGUUCAUCCAAGAUGACUGUGACAUGGUUGUCGUAGUCGACCUGGCCCUCCUCUGCGUUGCCACUGCUGCUGUUACUUGCAGGCGCCGGACUCCGCUCACUUGAUGCUCUAUGUUAAAGGUCGGAAAGAUGAACUCGCGUGAAACAUUUGUGAUGUAGAGAAAAUAAUAUUUUAUCAAUGAGAAAUAAUUAUUGUUGGUGAUUGUUGCAAAAGCUAGAUAAUAUUACGAGGUAAUAUACUGCUUAAACUUUAUUUUCUGAAUGCACAAGUGGUGUUAACUUUAUCAGGUAACAUGCUUUUGCACUGCAAGCCCUAUUUGCUUGACUCAUUAAAAAAGUGCACCUCACAACGUUCACUUUCACCACAUCCAUUCCUUCACCCGUUCAUUUGAUUGUUAGCGUCUUUGGUAGGCAUGCAGAAAAUGGCUUUUUAGGUGAUAGCAAAUGUUUUCAUCAUCUUCUUAGCACUAUCAUGCAUUUUCCUGCUGGCAAAGUUAUUUUGGUACCUUUCUUACAACUUACCGAUCGGGAUUGAUGAAUCCUACGUUUGUAGAAAUGCUGGAAAACAUUAACAUUUUUUAGUUAUGCUACAGCAAUCAGGCCUUAAAAAAAUUUCGAUGAGCAAGUUAUGCAGUACGCUAUGUUCUUUUUGUAAAGGGGGGUUUAUUGAAG